CCAGUCAACCACCAUCAAUAAGAUAACACCAUUACUCAAAUUUUCUCUCCUACAUCUUCAUAUUUAUCUCCAACUACCAUCAACACCCUCGCCCCAUUCACACCCUAUUUACAAAUUCCAACCUCAUUCAACCUCCCAUCAAAACCGAGAAAAAACUCUCCAUUCGCGUUGGGCUGGUGUUGGGGUGGUUCUAGCCGGGCGGAAGAGGUUAGGAGAGAGAAUAGGGAGGUGGUUUUCGCUGGGUAGAGGUUGUUUUCGGAGUACAGAUCUUGGUUGAUUACAAUACCUCUGUUCCAAGGAAGCUUUGUUCUGGUAAUUUUGACCUUUUUUUGUUAUCUCGGCAGGCUCUUUUCUUUAGAGAAAUUAAUCCACAGCCAAGGAAGCACACUUUGUGGCAGGCAACAACAGAUUUUACAAGUGGGCAGGCUUCACUCCAUAGCUCAACUGAAGGAUUGUAAGGACUAGUGGACCAAGCUCAUUAUUAUUUUCUUCUCUUUCACAGAAAACCGUAGCAGCAAAGUACGUGCAAUCAACACGGAGGACCGCACGUAGAUUUUUCCGCGCAUGGUCAGAGGGGCUGCGUCUAGCGCAGGGCCCUGCAUCCCACGCAGGGCAGGGCUAUAUAAACCCCCUCGCCGCUCUCUUCCUAGGAGCACAUUCACUUGUUUGUUCUGUUUUCUUAAAGGUUGAUUGCUAUCUCCCCUUGGUCUACUCGCUCUUGCCUUGCCCAUCAUGCCUCGUUAUACUCGGAGGAAGCUCGCUGAACGCUCGACUCUUCGAGCGGCUAUGUAGGACGCUUCAGACAAUGAAGCGGCUGAGGCGAAUGUGCCACUGCCGGGCAUUGUACCACGGACCAGACCGGCUUUCAAGGGGGACGCCUGGCAGUCCUCUGAUCUUGCAUUUCGUCCCGAGUUUCAUAUGUCACAGCGGCCGCGCGCUGGCUUGGCUGACAGCGAGGCGAUGCGCAACUAUUGGUCCUUGAAGGAUCUUUGGACCAUUUAUCCGACUGUUUUCGGCGCCGAGGAGGCUCGAGCGAUCUGGGAUCAGACGAGCUUGGCUCCUUUCUAGGAGGCAUCGGGAGGCUUUCGAGGGCAGGCGGGUGUCAAAGCCCGGCUACAGGCCAUGCUGGAGCGGUGGUGGGAAACCACCAACACCUUUCACAUGGUCUAGGGGGAGAUCACCAUUACCCCUUUCGAGUUUGCUAUGAUCACGGGCCUUCCUUUUUCCGAGAGGGACGUGACCUUUGAUCCCCAGUUGAACUGGCAUUCGGAGGGUGUUAGGGACUUGAUCGGUCUUGUCGUUGAUUUGACCUCGGAGGGUACCCAUACCUCCGCGGCGGUGAUUAUGGCUGGGCUUCGCAUGACGAACAUAUCAGCGGAGCAGAGGGUUCGACUCUUCCUCCUGGCUCUUAUGAGUAGAGUGAUGGUCCCGGCCAGAAAUAGCGGCGUGCUGGUGGGCUUCCUAGGGUCUUUGAGGGAUUUGAGGGCUGUUUCAGGCCUCAACUAGGGUGGUCUGGCAUACGACCACCUUUUGUACGAGAUGAAGAACACCUCCUGGACUGCACCGAAGAGCAAGGCGAGUGUGGCUGCUUUGUGGAGUAUGCUGGAGAUUUGAGCGUAUGAGCACUUUCCGAGCUUGGCGCCGAAUCGCCCCAGGGUUGCGGCUUACCCGUUUGCUGCCUCUUGAGAAGGAGCGGAGCGCAGGGAUGUGUCCUUAGCGACCUUCCGCAGAGCUUUGCGGGUCUUUCCUGUCAGAGAGGUGGUCAGGUGCCCUUUUGAUGAUGCGCCUACACCUACUUGCCAUGCGGGCCUGUUACUUGUCCGGACGGCUGGUGCUAUUCCCAGGAGUGUACCGUCCCAUGUGGUAUCUGGGUGAGCGGGUAACUCCUCAGCAUAAUGUGAGAGGCAGGUUCGUCCCUAUGGAUCCUCCGGAGUCCAUGAUGACGAAGACUGUUGAUGUUGCUCGGCUUUAUUCGGAUGCCAUGGUGGCUGGGGGCGAGUCCAUUUGUCUCCCGUGGGAGAACUAUGUGGAUAGGAGGAGCCUCUAUGAUGACCUCUAGGCGAGGCUUGCCCCACCUAUUCGCUUUGUGCCGCCGGAGGAGGCGAUCGACCCUGAGGAUGUCCCUUAUGCUGACAGGGUUAUCCGUUAUGUGGGCUCAGAUGGGGAGCAGGUGGAGGUUACUGUUCCAAUGUCCUCUCCUCCGCAUCGGGCGGCGACUGAUGCCCUUCCCGAGUAUUAUGCAGUUGCGCCUCGGGCGAGAGUGCGUUGCUGGAUUCUCGUGAUUGAUUCUUUGAAGAGGCACUACGUCAAACUAACCAAGAAGCUUCCUGGAAAGGAUAUAGAGGUGAGUUUGUUGCCUUAUGCUGACAGGGUUAUCCGUUUGUUGCAUUCAGAUGUUGAUAGGGGAGCUGUCCCCUCUAUUUAUGCUGAGCCUACCAGGCAUUCGUACUCUGCCGAAGGUAUGGGCAGCCAGAUGCCUUUUACGCCUCCCCUUGGUGUCCACUUAGGAGCGAGCAUUUCCCAGCCUUGGAGCGCAGAUCCUUAGGCUUGUUGGUAUGAGAUGGAGCGGAGGCGCCAGGCCUAUGAUUUUGAGGUGCAGCGCCGGUUUAUGACGACCCAACAACCUUAUCAGUAUUCCCCCUAUCAGCAGGGAGCUCAGCGGCCUUUUGGUACCCUUUGUAUUUCGGAGCAGGAUCCAGCUACCCUUGGGACAGAGCUAGACCAGGAUCUGGAGCGGUACAUGAGCCGGAACAGGAACAAGGAGCCUGUGAUUGAUAUCGUCGCUGAUGAUGACUCGAAUUGACCCUGCAUGGUAGCGAGUCCUAGCUUUGCCUUGGUUGGGAUUUUGUAUGAGGAUAUUUGUAUGGAUAUUUGUAGUUGUACUUUGUAUUUGGGUUUGUAUGGUUGGAUUUUGUAUGAUUCGAAUUUUGGAUUUUGUAUGUUUUGAACUGGUACGAUUUGAAUUGGUAUG